AAGGGAGACCUAAUUCCGGUAGGAGACGAAAAAAAAGUAGUCCCUACCAAGAAUCAAUCCCAAAAGGUCGAAGCGAGGCAAGAUUGGCUUUCAAACUAGGUUCUGGGUUCAAACAAAACCUGAAUCAGGAACAAGGGCUAUUAGCUCAGGUGGUUAGAGCGCACCCCUGAUAAGGGUGAGGUCCCUGGUUCGAGUCCAGGAUGGCCCACCUGCACAGGUGGCAAAAACAAGAGAAACGAGGAAUCAGCACCUUAUCUUACUUACAUAGUAAGAGAGAAUGCUGGCUCUGAGUAAAGAGUCCAGAGGAACCUUGAAAACUGCAUAGAGCUAGGUGAAAAAGCCAAAAAAGAAGACCGCAA
rnacentral:tRNA from 1 species